rnacentral:rRNA from 1 species
CAUGUAAUGUCUAUAGUGUUAAUGCAUUGGAUACCAUUAGAACUCUGCAAUUAAGUCUACUUGGGCUAGAGUAGUAUUGGGAUGGGUGACCUCUCGGGAAGUCCUAGUGUUUUACAUGC